rnacentral:lncRNA from 1 species
UUCCAAAAGAGUAAGAGUUUUCAUUGAGCAGUUGUUAUGCGUCAGAUACUGGACUAAGCAGUUUGCAUACCUGAUCUAUUUAAACUUUACUCCAGUCUUACAAAGUGGGUAUACUAGUGUCAUUCUACAGAUAAGGAAUCUGAGGUUCAGAGAAGCUAAGUAACUUGUCCAGGUUCUUAAUUAACCUAUUGUACUGUUCAAGAAAAAGCCUAGAAAAAACGCCCAGAACGUUAAUAGCAGUAGUCUCUGAGCAGUGGGACUAUGAAUGACUUUUCAUUUCCCUUUUACAGUUUUCCCUCUUUUCCAAAAUAACCACAGUAGCAUGUUGCUUUUGCAAUUAGAAAAAAAGAGAAAGCUGUCAUUUAAAAAAUCAUUUGUUGUGGAGUACUGUUAUAAAAAUAUGCUGAUUAUUCAAAUCCAUAUUGAACAACCUAAACUAUUAAUAGUGAUAUUAUCUCUUAGUAGUGAUUUUCAUUUUUCAAUUUUUGCUUCUCUGUAAUUUAUUGUUUCUAUAAUUAAUUCUUUCAUUCAUUCAACAAAUACAGAGCAUCUGCUAUGAUUUAUUUUUAUGAGAAGAAAAAAUUUUAAAAGAAAAAAUGUACAAUGUCAGCCCAAAGUUGUAAAUUUUAUUCAAAAAAGGAGGAAGGAAAGAUAUAUAUGCUCAGAAAAAGACUGGGCACCAAAAUGUUACUAGCAAUUAUGUUUCGGUGGUGAGUUAGUGGAAAUGUUAUCUUUUCUGAGUACCUUUCUAUGCUUUCCCAGUUUUCAACAAUAUAUAUUACUUAUAUAUUCUAUCCAUGGCUGUGUCUCCAGUGCUUAGAAGAGUACCUGGCACAUAGUAGGAGUUCAAGAAGAUUUCUUGAACAAAUGAAUGCUUUUGAGUAUAAAUACCCCCAAAAUAGUUCUUAAAAACAGCAUGGACCUUCAUUUAUUCAGUCCGUUAUGGUAGGUGGCAAACUUUGCACUCAACCUAUGCUACUCUAUGCUGGAGAAGACACAGAGAAGGCCCAGGUGUAGCAGGGAGUUCCAGUUGCCAUUUACUGGGUGGUAGUGAUGGGGAGAGCCAUGUUACAGGAUGACAGGGUGAGCAGAAAUGGGGGACACACUAUUCAGAAAAACACCACAGUGUUGUUUUGUCGUAUUUGUUAAGAAUUUUACUCAACGUAUUUCCAGGAGAAUGGGAGGCAACACAUCACUGUCCCAGUGUCCAAUGAGGAUAGACCCCAUGUUGUAAUAGCUGGGUUUCUUGGUAGCGCUAUCUGAGGUUCACAGAGGAAUGGCGGGGUGAGAUGAGGUUGGGAUGACUCAGUCAUUUUCUCCUAUUUUGCUUGUAAUUAUGAAGCUCACUUCUCUGGUUUUAUAAAUUAACUUGGGUCAUAAGUCCAAAGAGAGACCAGAUAUGAGGCCAAUGUGGGGACAGAAGUCCCUUUGCUGGUACAUGAAUCAGGCUGACUGCCCCAGCAUCUAUAUCUCCACUUGGCUGUCCAACUUUGACUCAUGUAUGGGGGAAGUUAUAUGCUAUGGUGAUAUUGCCAAGUUAGAAGAGUCUCAAAAACCACCUGAGGCACCUCUUAACCACUCUCUGCUUCAAUCCUUGGCCCCCUGCUGUAUUUUCCACACAGCAGCCACAGCAGCUUUUAAAGCCUAACUCAGAUUGUGUCUUUACACAAAAAUCUACAACGGCCAGAGCUCUUACAGUAAGGCCCUACCUUGUGUCCCCAGCUCUCGGUUAUCUCUCUGACCUAAUUUUCUACAGCUUUCCCCUUGCUCACUCCAGUCUAGCCACCUGGACCUCCUAGUUGUUUCUCAAACACGCCAGGCACACUUUGCCCUUGCUGUAUCCCUUGCAGGAAAUUGCCC